GGGAAACCGAGUCUUAACUGGGCGUUAAGUUGCAGGGUAUAGACCCGAAACCCGGUGAUCUAGCCAUGGGCAGGUUGAAGGUUGGGUAACACUAACUGGAGGACCGAACCGACUAAUGUUGAAAAAUUAGCGGAUGACUUGUGGCUGGGGGUGAAAGGCCAAUCAAACCGGGAGAUAGCUGGUUCUCCCCGAAAGCUAUUUAGGUAGCGCCUCGUGAAUUCAUCUCCGGGGGUAGAGCACUGUUUCGGCAAGGGGGUCAUCCCGACUUACCAACCCGAUGCAAACUGCGAAUACCGGAGAAUGUUAUCACGGGAGACACACGGCGGGUGCUAACGUCCGUCGUGAAGAGGGAAACAACCCAGACCGCCAGCUAAGGUCCCAAAGUCAUGGUUAAGUGGGAAACGAUGUGGGAAGGCCCAGACAGCCAGGAUGUUGGCUUAGAAGCAGCCAUCAUUUAAAGAAAGCGUAAUAGCUCACUGGUCGAGUCGGCCUGCGCGGAAGAUGUAACGGGGCUAAACCAUGCACCGAAGCUGCGGCAGCGACGCUUAUGCGUUGUUGGGUAGGGGAGCGUUCUGUAAGCCUGUGAAGGUGUGCUGUGAGGCAUGCUGGAGGUAUCAGAAGUGCGAAUGCUGACAUAAGUAACGAUAAAGCGGGUGAAAAGCCCGCUCGCCGGAAGACCAAGGGUUCCUGUCCAACGUUAAUCGGGGCAGGGUGAGUCGACCCCUAAGGCGAGGCCGAAAGGCGUAGUCGAUGGGAAACAGGUUAAUAUUCCUGUACUUGGUGUUACUGCGAAGGGGGGACGGAGAAGGCUAUGUUGGCCGGGCGACGGUUGUCCCGGUUUAAGCGUGUAGGCUGGUUUUCCAGGCAAAUCCGGAAAAUCAAGGCUGAGGCGUGAUGACGAGGCACUACGGUGCUGAAGCAACAAAUGCCCUGCUUCCAGGAAAAGCCUCUAAGCAUCAGGUAACAUCAAAUCGUACCCCAAACCGACACAGGUGGUCAGGUAGAGAAUACCAAGGCGCUUGAGAGAACUCGGGUGAAGGAACUAGGCAAAAUGGUGCCGUAACUUCGGGAGAAGGCACGCUGAUACGUAGGUGAAGUCCCUCGCGGAUGGAGCUGAAAUCAGUCGAAGAUACCAGCUGGCUGCAACUGUUUAUUAAAAACACAGCACUGUGCAAACACGAAAGUGGACGUAUACGGUGUGACGCCUGCCCGGUGCCGGAAGGUUAAUUGAUGGGGUCAGCGCAAGCGAAGCUCUUGAUCGAAGCCCCGGUAAACGGCGGCCGUAACUAUAACGGUCCUAAGGUAGCGAAAUUCCUUGUCGGGUAAGUUCCGACCUGCACGAAUGGCGUAAUGAUGGCCAGGCUGUCUCCACCCGAGACUCAGUGAAAUUGAACUCGCUGUGAAGAUGCAGUGUACCCGCGGCAAGACGGAAAGACCCCGUGAACCUUUACUAUAGCUUGACACUGAACAUUGAGCCUUGAUG
rnacentral:rRNA from 1 species